rnacentral:rRNA from 1 species
GAUGAACGCUGGCGGCGUGCCUAAUACAUGCAAGUCGAGCGAACAGACGAGGAGCUUGCUCCUCUGACGUUAGCGGCGGUCGGGUGAGUAACACGUGGAUAACCUACCUAUAAGACUGGGAUAACUUCGGGAAACCGGAGCUAAUACCGGAUAAUAUAUUGAACCGCAUGGUUCAAUAGUGAAAGACGGUUUUGCUGUCACUUAUAGAUGGAUCCGCGCCGCAUUAGCUAGUUGGUGAGGUAACGGCUUACCAAGGCAACGAUGCGUAGCCGACCUGAGAGGGUGAUCGGCCACACUGGAACUGAGACACGGUCCAGACUCCUACGGGAGGCAGCAGUAGGGAAUCUUCCGCAAUGGGCGAAAGCCUGACGGAGCAACGCCGCGUGAGUGAUGAAGGUCUUCGGAUCGUAAAACUCUGUUAUUAGGGAAGAACAAAUGUGUAAGUAACUAUGCACGUCUUGACGGUACCUAAUCAGAAAGCCACGGCUAACUACGUG